UACGUAGGGGGCGAGCGUUGUCCGGAUUUAUUGGGCGUAAAGAGCGUGUAGGCGGCCAGGUAGGUCCGUUGUGAAAACUCGAGGCUCAACCUCGAGACGUCGGCGGAAACCCUCUGGCUAGAGUCCGGAAGAGGAGAGUGGAAUUCCUGGUGUAGCGGUGAAAUGCGCAGAUAUCAGGAAGAACACCCGUGGCGAAGGCGGCUCUCUGGGACGGUACUGACGCUGAGAAGCGAAAGCAUGGGGAGCGAACAGG
rnacentral:rRNA from 1 species